GUUUAGGGGUAAACCUGAGAAACCCGAAAGGUCGAAGGAAGAAAUUCAUUCGUGUAUCAUUAUUGACUGAAUUGAUUAUAAUUGACGAUAAAUAAGUCGAUAUUAUCUAUUCGAUGAUAUUUGAUUUAUAUGUUGCUAAAUAAUUAUUUAUUGUCUGAUAGUGAAUACGUGCAUUUUUCUUCUGGUAGGACGUUGCGAUCCGUUAGCAAAUUUUAUCAAUCUAUGAUUUAUAGUUAUAUGUUCAUUAUAAAUAAUAUAUUUAUUAUUGAAUAAUGAAACUGUAAAAUCUGAUUGAUUAAUCUGACGGUAUUAUAUAUGGUUAAAAGUCGCUAAAAUAAAUAGCGUUAGAGGCAAGACAAAUAUAUAAAUUGUGUAAAGAUAUAAUUGUUAUUAUUUAACGAUAAUGAUGAUUGUAUUCUCGGCAAUCGGUAUUUAUAUCAAUUCCGGGCCUUUUAUGUAUUGUUAGUCGAGCAUAUCUCUAACAGACUUUAUUAUUACUUUUAAUAAAACCAAUCAGCAACGCUAUAGCUUUGGGUAAUUUCAGGACCCGUCUUGAAACACGGACCAAGGAGUCUAGCAUGUACGCAAGCCAUUGGGAUUUUUAAAACCUAUAGGCAUAAUGAAAGUAAAAAUUAAUUUAUCUAUUCGAUAAAUCAUUAUAGGGAAGAUGAAUAAUGUAAUUUAAUAAAUUAUUUCGCAUUCCCGGGGCGUUUAAAAUUUAUUUGUUUGCUUGCAUUCAAAUGAGUUUAUGCGCACCAAGAGUGUACACGCUGGGACCCGAAAGAUGGUGAACUAUGCCUGGUCAGGACGAAGUCAGGGGAAACCCUGAUGGAGGUCCGUAGCGAUUCUGACGUGCAAAUCGAUCGUCGGAAC
rnacentral:rRNA from 1 species